rnacentral:rRNA from 1 species
AUGAAAAAAGCACAAGAAAAGCUUGGAGCAUUGCUGGGGCGAAACCCUGGCUUGUCCAAAGAUUUCAACAACUGUGUUGACUUCGGGUUGACGCCGAAAGAAUUUGAGGCAGGGUGGUGUGAGCUGAUGAUGAAGUAUGAGGCUAUGACUGACUCCCACUUCGAGUAUCUAUACAAGUACAGAGAGACAUGGGUACCCUGCUACUUCAAGCACCAAUUCUUCCCUUUCUUGGAGUCAACUCAACGCAGCGAGGGGUUCAACGCUAUCCUUAAGUGA